rnacentral:lncRNA from 1 species
GAAUAUACAUGAAGUGAAUAAUUUAUCCAAAUGCCAGACACAGGUCAUUUCACAAAUGAAAUUUUAAAUUUAAAAAUUUUAAGAAAGAGAUUAUUCUAGUACUUUUAAAACUUUUCUAAGGAAAAUCAACAUGUCUAAUGUUGUUUAUAAAGCCAACAUAACAGUAAUGCCAAAACUGGACAGUGCACACACAGGACUCACAAAACAGUAGACGACUUUUAGGAAUAAGCCUAGUGCCAAAAUAUUUUUUAAAAUAUUGACACUGUAAUUACCAUUUUUUUCUUUCUUUUUUUUUUUUUUUGCAAGUGACACACACUCUAACAGCUCCUUGACCAGAGAGUAAAGGUAGCUCUAUUAUAAAAGAACAGUCUUCCCACUUGGGCUCCCAAAGUGCUGGGAUUAAAGGGGCGAGUUACAGCACCAGGACCUGAAAUGUAAGUUUCCUUUUGUGAGUGAAUGUUCCAUUUAGUUAAGUUAUUCCAAAAUGAUGAGGUAAGCCUGUGAAUGAGGUUCUACUUUCUGUCCAGAAUUCUUGGAGAAGGUCAAACUGGUGAGAUGAGCGAGGCAGGUUGAGAGGUAUGAGGAGUUGGGGGCAGGGGGGUUACAUUAUUCAAAAGAGUACAAGUGGAGCCUGCGAAGGGGGAGUAAAAGCGACAACAAAGAGAGGGGCUCUGGCGGCCUUGGAGUGGAACAGAUUAGUGACAUCCGUCUUAAAAAAGCCCAGUCAUGACUGGUGGUGGCUGAUGAGGCCUAGGAAGCGAUUAGAACUGUCGCUCUGAAGUCAGAAGUUGGGUUUCAAUCCCUGCAAUGGCCCUUACUUGCUGACUAAAGGCUCUCAGUCUACUGUAACCCACCGGGCUUCCAUUUCUGUCAAUUAAGUAGGGAUAACAAUAUGCAUUUCGUGUGUGUGUGUGUGUGUUUUUAAUGAGAAUGGAUAAAGAAAGGCAGUUGAAAAGACACAGCACAGUCCGGGUGCGGUGGCUCACGCCUGUAAUCCCAGCACUUUGGGAGGCCGAGGCGGGUGGAUCACGAGGUCAGGAGAUCGAGAUCAUCCUGGCUAACAGGGUGAAACCCAUCUCUACUAAAAAUACAUAAAAUUAGCCGUGUGUGGUGGCGGGCGCCUGUAGUCCCAGCUACUCAGGAGGCUGAGGCAGGAGAAUGGCGUGAACCCGGGAGGCGGAGCUUGAGAUCGCGCCACCGCACUCCAGCCUGGGCGACAGAGCGAGACUCCGUCUCAAAAAAAAAAAAAAAAAAAAAAACAAGAAAAAAAGAAAAGAAAAAAAGACACAGCACAGUGACUGGCACAUAGCAGGUGUCACUCCAUUCCUCUUUCGCUUUGGUCAGGAAUCCCCUUUGCCGUUUGAUCACUUUUAAAGACAAUCCCUCAUGUUUUCUUCCUUGUAUUAUUUAAUAGCCUGUUCGCCUGUUCAGUGUAAGAUAAGGAAACAUUAGUACAGAAAAAUGGGGAAUAGACAAAUGGCGAAGGGACGGCUAUCCUUUCGGAACAGAAAACACAACUUAAUUACAUUCACAAUGGAUCAAAACGGCUUCCUGAAUCAGGUACCUACAGUUUGCGGCCUCUCUUAUGUCCCGCCUGCGUCUCUCUGUCUACUACUCAUCACCAGAUGCCAGGGCCACCUCCAACAGCGGUGCCUGCAUUCCUUCUUGAUUUAGUAUCUUUUUGUAAUUGAUACAUAAUAUUUUCACAUAUUCAUGGUGUAUAUGUGAUGUUUUGUUACAUGCAUGGAAUGUGUUAUGAUCAAGACAGGGUAUCAGGGUAUCCAGCUGGAGUAUUUAUUUCCAGGUGCUGGGAACAUUUCAAGUCCUAUCUUCUAGCUAUUUUCAAAAUAUGUAAUGCAGUCGCCCUAUUCUACCAUCUAACGUUAGAACUUAUUCUUUCUAACUAUAUGUUUGUACCCCUAACCAACCUUUCUUCAUUCCCCCACCUUCAUGUCCUUCUUAACUGCUAGUAAACGUUCUACUCUCUACCUCUGUAAGAUCACCUUCUUUUAGCUCCCACAUAUGAUGGAGUAAAUGCAAUAAAAAUAUGGAAAGCUUCACAAAUUUGCACGGCAUCUUUGUGCAGGGCCGUGCUAAUCUUCUCUAUAUCAUUCCAAUGUGCCAAUUACUAAUGAACUAAACACUAAUACUUUCUGCCAAAGUAAGCAUGGAUUUAGGAUCUUUGACAUGAUCCCAAAAAGAUAGACAUUGCAGUGCUUUUGUGGAUGAUAUCCAAUUGAGGUUCUACUUCUGCAGAAUUAAAUUAUAAUUUUACACAGUCUUUUGGAAGAUCCCAGGAUUUGAUAAAGAAUUUCAUGAGAAUCUAAAUCCAAGAUUUCUCCACUCACUGGGGCCUGGUUAACUGAUAUCUGGCUAUAAAAUUCCAACACAGGAUAGAUUUCAGUUCAGUUCUGAACUGCCUUCUUGGCUUCCCAGUUGAUAUAAGACAUGCAUUCUAAUGGAAACACAUUGCUGAAUGUGGCUAGGCCAUAGAGCUGAAUUAACUCAGGUUAGCUUUAUUUUGGAUAAGUAGGCUUUUUGUGGGCUGCCCUGGGAACUUUUUCAUUAUGUAUAAUUUCAUACCUAUGGAAUAUGAGGCUCAAAUUCUAAAUGACUGGCUUGCCAACUUUUAGAAUUUACCUGCUUUAAAAUUGGGAGCAAUCUGUUCCUUUGUAAAUGUUCUGAACUGGAACUAUAAUUCAGAUAAAUAAGGGCAUUUCUAAAUGACAGAGCCCAAAGGAAAUCUGUUUGCAAGAGGGACAGAUGCCCCUCAGGAAGACAAGCAGGGGAGCACUUGUUCUCAGAUCAUGAGUCAAGGUCAGAGAGUGAGAUGACUCUGGGUAAUGGAGACUACACUUCAGGCCAUCCCCGUAGACAAAUGCUCAUGUCUUAAAGAAAAGGAGAGGCAAAAACACAGUGAGAAAAUCCUGAAAGCUGCAAUGCAUUGGAAUUGCUGUCUGCAUCGGAAGUGGGGUUAUAGCAGGGACAUCAGUCUCCUUGGUGUAAGCAGAGUAAGAACCAGAAACAGCAGCAGCGCAGCAUCCGUGACAAAAGCAUUCAUGUUGGAAGUCCCAGGUGUGACCAGUGUGAGCUGGAAUAGGAAAGAGUAAAGGGGUCAUUCCUCAGGUCACUGGGAAGAGGCAUGGAGCACAGGCAACACAUAGACACUUCCAUCAUGAUUUCACAGGGUGUGGGGCAGCUGGAAAUGCCAGAGACAUGUAUUGUGAGUAUUGCUGUGACCAUAUGUUUUUGCUUCCAAACUAGUAUGGACAAGGAAGCCUCCUUGCAUUAAAAAAAAUUUUUUUUAAUGUGUGUGUGUGUGUAUAUAAACCUAACUGGUUCCUGCCAGACACUAACAUUGCAUUGCCCAGCAAAUAAAAAGGAAAGAAAAAGGCCCUCAGAUCUUUAAAAACUGGACUAGGCACUGACCAUCAAAGCCCAU